GUCUCUCCUGUUUCCACUCAAGAGAGGAGAGAGGGGAGGUGGGCAGGAGGGAAUGAUACAGUCUCUCCUGUUUCCACUCAAGAGAGGAGAGAGGGGAGGUGGGGAGGAGGGAAUGAUACAGUCUCUCCUGUUUCCACUCAAGAGAGGAGAGAGGGGAGGUGGGCAGGAGGGAAUGAUACAGUCUCUCCUGUUUCCACCCAAGAGAGGAGAGAGGGGAGGUGGGCAGGAGGGUAUGACAGUCUCUCCUGUUUCCACCCAAGAUGUAAAUGCUCCUGCAUGUCAUCCAUCCAUCCAUCCUGCUCUCUGGUCCAGUGUCAUGUGUUUGUUGAUGAUCAUUAGUGUCAUAUGUACUGCGUAUGUUUUCAUUUCAUUCUGCAUAUUACACAUUUCAAAAUGUCUGUAUUAGUAUCAGCGGUUCAUCUUUCUUUGGCGAUGUUAAUAGGGAGCAUAAAAACUUCAUGUUUCUUUCUUUUUGUAUGUAUCCUUUGCUCUGUUUUAAAUUACACUCAAAAUAAAAUUCAUUCCCAUCCUCUGAACUUCA